CUAUAUUGCAGUACUGCAUAUAUACAGUACUGCAGUAUUGCAACCAGCUCAUUUAACUCAUUCAACUCAGCCCUUUCAACCUUGUGUAAUUCUGUCAUUAAUGGGCCAAUUUGAUUUAGGAAGCUGCAAUUAUACGGACGUGUGUAGUCUGUUGCCGCCUCAGCCCUAUCCGAAACCCUUUCAGUAACAGUCCAUUCCCUGUACUUGUCCAUUUCCGGCUGUAAAAGCACUGAAUUACUGAUCUUUAUUGCAACGUACAACGUCAAGGAUUUGCCGGUGAUGAUCACCACACCAUCCAAACAAAUUUCUUCCUGGCUUGAUAAAAAAUAGUUAAAGAUCCCUAAUAGAGGAGAACAUAUCGGUAAUAAUCCACCGUCGGCAUCUCACACCGAGGCACUUUCUGUGUCCGCAUGGCCAACUCCACUUUACCGAUGGCCACCUGGAAAACACUCACAUUUCGAAAAACAAGGUCCAGACCAGAAAGGAUAGACGUCGGAUCAGAGGAAGUCAAACGCUAUAGCCCGUCGGCCGUAAAAGGCUUUGCGUCACAGAUAAUAACAGCAUCGACAUUUUCUAAAAUAUAAUCAAACCCACCGUUGUUGUGGCCAUAUCCAAAGCAAAAUAAUCCCAUUAGCUGCCGGCGCCAUCACGCACAUGGGGUUCGUGCCCAAGGCUAACUACAAAUUAUAAUCACCAACAACACCAUAAUUUUACCACUGCUGCUACUGUACUUGCUCCAAGAAUUGCCAGCGCUGGCGGAGUCCCAGCUUUGCCAGACAUCGGCAAUUUUAGAACACAAAGUAACGCUGGGAAACAAUGAAUUUGAAAAGAAUUCGGAAUAGAAUUCGAAGUU